CGAAUAGGGUGGCCGAAGUCGCCACAGGCGACACGGGGGAACCAACUGCCUGCCGACCAGCGGGCACCGGGGUGAAUCUCCGACAUUGUCGGAGUAGGCUAACUCCUUCAGGCCGAACCCGUCAGCUAACCUCGUAGGCAUGCGAAGGAGAGGCUAG
rnacentral:sRNA from 2 species